CCAAUGUGGAGAUUGUUAACAGCGUGGGCUGGAAACAUGUUACAAUGAGAGACCAGAAAUAAGUCAGGAUCAAGGAGCGAAGCACAACUUCAUCUGGAAGCUGCUGGUGAUGAGAUGCUCCUUGAUCCACAGCUGAUCCAGAUGGAGGUUCAGGGCGAAUGUCUCCCUGUGCUCGUCCUGGGUCCUUCCAUGGACCUGGACUGGUCACGACAAAGCAGCACGGAAAAGACACAAGGACAAAGAAACUUUUCACUGCUCUGUGGGUGAGAGAGCUGUGAGCUGAACCUUCAUCGUCAUCCUGGUUUGGCAACUGUACGGCACUGUGUUGGCAAAGCAGAGAGCCAGGAUGCCUUUAGUUCCACUAGAACGAGCCAGCGUGUUCAUCCUGGAAAUGGCAUUUGAUCAAUACGUAAACCGAGGUAAUGGAAAUGACGUGACCAGUGUCAUGCAACUGCUCAACACUGAGUUGGAAUUAGGCAGAAACAGAGUUGUUGAAACUGUAGCAUUUUGAUCUUCACCUUUCACUGAUGCUGAUCAUGUGACAAACGUCACCUUUCUACUGUGCGUUUGUCAUGUGAGUCAUAAAAUAAAGUGUGUAUUGUCUCUCAUAUGCAGAAGUUCAGGGGAAAAUAUGUACCUUCACAUGUUUUAAUUAUUAAAAAAUCUGUCUAUUAAAACACAAUAGAUUAUGACAACAAAGUUUACAAAUGAAAUAGAAAUAUUUCCCGUCUGUCGUUUGCUCUGGAAGAUCUUUAAAAAAACAAACAGAGUAAAGCAUAUUAAUGAGCAACAAACGCCACAAUAAACAAUCAGAACAUUCAAUAUAACGUGGUUCUUCUUUUGCUAGACAUGUUCACAUUAAAAACAAGUGACUUCAUUUGUGUGUUUUAGUACAAAACAGAGAGCUGAAAAUGUUUCACAGUUUCUUCACCGUCCUU